rnacentral:piRNA from 1 species
UGAGAUAUCAUGGAUGGCUUCAUCAU